rnacentral:rRNA from 1 species
UACGUAGGUGGCAAGCGUUAUCCGGAUUUAUUGGGCGUAAAGAGAACGCAGGCGGUCUUUUAAGUCUGAUGUGAAAGCCUUCGGCUUAACCGGAGUAGUGCAUUGGAAACUGGGGGCCUUGAGUGGGCGAGAAGAAGGCGGAAUGCGUGGUGUAGCGGUGAAAUGCAUAGAUAUCACGCAGAACCCCGAUUGCGAAGGCAGCCUUCCGGCGCCCUACUGACGCUGAGGCACGAAAGUGCGGGGAUCGAACAGG